UGUUCAACUUAAUUGUUUGGUAGAGCAUAAUGGUAUCUACUACAUUCUACUGAAAAAUGUGAGGAAAUUAAAGGGUUAAUAUUACAAAACCGGUG